GGGCCGGCCUGGGUCUCGCAGCAAAGGUCUUUGAUAACCAGCAAAACGGCAAAGGGAGGCAGGAAAACCACCCGCAGGGAGGCCAGUGUGGGUUUAAGGAAGUGAGACCAGGACCACAGACUGGGCGCUCCCUGCUGAGUCUGUGGCCCUGAAGGCUGUUCAGCUCUAAGCGUCGGUGCACGGACAGGCCAGACAGGGCUGUAUUGCUCCAAUCGCCCUGCAAGAAUCACAGCCAGACGGGGGCUUCCCGAGUGCUGCCCACCUUGCCGGCACGCAGGAGGAGGUGGCAUGGACUGGGGAGGAGGAAGCACUCUCACUCCUGCUGGAGCCUCUGCCCAGGAACCCCGAUUGGCCCAGCCGUCCCUGGGGAGGCCCAUCCCACGUGUCCCGCACCCCGUGUCUGUCAGCACUGAUCAGGGUCUCCCAGACACCUGCUCUGGGGUUGCCAUGGGGACGAGCGGGAGGGUGAGUGUGGCGCACACAGCUGUCUGUAGACACACAGAGGGCAUGCACGCAUGUGUCUGUGCUCACCUGCAUGUGUUCACACGGACUGGGCACCGCCGGAGGUGUUCACACAGCGGUGUACACCGACCCCUCUGCAGAUGUGCACACACCCAGCAAGGCUACGUCCACAGGCGUGUAUGUGUUCUUGCACCAGGAAGUGGGUCACGCCCCACACCACACAUCGUAUACUCUGUCCCUGCGGCACGCACCUGUCUGGGUGCACCAGGCAGUCUAAGCCCAUGUCACCUAUGUGUACACAUAUGUGCACAUACCUACUCAGGCACACCAGUGUGUGUACACGGCUGUCCAGGCACACUGGGCAGUCCAAGCCCACGCCUGCCCAGACUCUUGGAAUCGGGCACUUUCUGAGGCUGCCCCGAUGGGCGUUCCUUUCCCCAGCCAGUACAUCCUCUCUUCCUAA
ensembl:lncRNA LNCRI lncRNA radiation induced regulator of PLK1 and RAD51